CUGUUCAAGGCAACCAUAUCAUGAUCGGUUUGGCGUUUUCUCUGACUGGAACCUUUUACACGUGCUCGGUACUAUUGUUUGGUUUCAUAACAGACAAAUACAAUCAGUGUAAGGUAAUAAUAAUCUUGGGACUCAUCGUCAUGGCCGUAGCCUUAACUCUCAUUGGACCCUGGGCACCCUUCACUCACCUAUUCCCAAACGGCAAGGGAGCAUCAUGGGGAGUUUACUUGGGGCAAUGUUUAAAUGGAG